UACGUAGGGGGCGAGCGUUGUCCGGAAUUAUUGGGCGUAAAGAGCUCGUAGGCGGUUCGGCAAGUCACGUGUGAAAUCUCCACGCUCAACGUGGAGGCGCCACGUGAGACUGCUGUGACUCGAGUCCGGUAGGGGAGCGUGGAAUUCCCGGUGUAGCGGUGAAAUGCGCAGAUAUCAGGAGGAACACCGGUGGCGAAGGCGGGUCUCUGGGCCGAUACUGACGCUGAGGAGCGAAAGCGUGGGGAGCGAACAGG
rnacentral:rRNA from 1 species